rnacentral:lncRNA from 1 species
GCGUGCAUGGCGUAGGAUAUAAUUUUUCCCUGGCGCCCCAUGGCUGCAAUCCAAAAUAUGCACAGAAAAAUGCUUUUAUACGACAAGGCAGCCUAAUUAUCUAACCAACUAAGAGUAUCAGAAGCCUUUAAUAUGUGCCACCCGAGCAAGAAAACAAACAGAUGAGAAUCACUCCUCUAUAAUCCAAAACAACAUGCCAGGUAAAAAUUAAUCCUCAACAGCGGCUCCAACGCAGGUGCAUCCAAUUCGAAAGGACAAAACCGUCUGGCCUUUAUUAGAAAAGAAAAGUUUACAUAAUUUUUUUUUUACUAAGAUGAAUAAUUCAUACAACACGUGUAUGAAUACACUCAAUAGAAAACAGAAUAUCACAGAGCUUCCGAAGCAGCUUCCAUCUCCUGCCCAAACAUGAAUUAUUUAUGUAAUUAGUUUGAGACUGCAACGAUGUUGAUGAAUACUCAUUCAAGUCCUGAGAAUAAGCUAUUG